UACGUAGGGUGCAAGCGUUAAUCGGAAUUACUGGGCGUAAAGCGUGCGCAGGCGGUUCGGAAAGAGAGGUGUGAAAUCCCAGGGCUUAACCUUGGAACCGCACUUCUAACUACCGGGCUAGAGUACGUCAGAGGGGGGUAGAAUUCCACGUGUAGCAGUGAAAUGCGUAGGGAUGUGGAGGAAUACCGAUGGCGAAGGCAGCCCCCUGGGAUGAUACUGACGCUCAUGCACGAAAGCGUGGGGAGCAAACAGG
rnacentral:rRNA from 1 species